UACGUAGGGUGCGAGCGUUGUCCGGAAUUAUUGGGCGUAAAGAGCUCGUAGGCGGUGUGUCACGUCGGCCGUGAAAACUUGGGGCUUAACCCUGAGCUUGCGGUCGAUACGGGCAUGACUGGAGUUCGGCAGGGGAGACUGGAAUUCCUGGUGUAGCGGUGAAAUGCGUAGAUAUCAGGAGGAACACCUGUGGCGAAAGCGGCGCACUGGACCACAACUGACGCUGAGGCGCGAAAGCUAGGGGAGCAAACAGG
rnacentral:rRNA from 1 species